rnacentral:miRNA from 1 species
AGGCAGCUCUCCUCUGGCAGG